rnacentral:lncRNA from 1 species
GUUGGAUGAAUUCAUUGUCCAAAAAAAUGGCAUGCCUACUAACAAAUAUCUUUUGUUUAGUAGGGUGGUAGAAGUAGUAUCCAUUAGUUUCCUUAGUAUACCCUACAAACCUAUAUUUGUCUGAUCUAGCACUAAGCUUACAUCCAAAAAUAUUUUUGACAUAAGCAGGACAGCCCCAAAUAUAGGCUUCUUUCCCUUCUAUAUCUCAUAUGGUGUGCUUAC